rnacentral:rRNA from 1 species
CAGUAGCCACGGGAAUACGAAGGGUGCAAGCGUUAAUCGGAAUUACUGGGCGUAAAGCGUGCGUAGGCGGCUUCUUAAGUCGGAUGUGAAAUCCCUGAGCUUAACUUAGGAAUUGCAUUCGAUACUGGGAAGCUAGAGUAUGGGAGAGGAUGGUAGAAUUCCAGGUGUAGCGGUGAAAUGCGUAGAGAUCUGGAGGAAUACCGAUGGCGAAGGCAGCCAUCUGGCCUAAUACUGACGCUGAGGUACGAAAGCAUGGGGAGCAAACAGGAUUAGAUACCCCAGUAGUCCCUGUCUCUUAUAC